GGACAAAGACUGACGCUCAGGUGNGAAAGCGUGGGGAGCAAACAGGAUUAGAUACNNGNUAGNNCACGCUGUAAACGAUGUCGACUUGGAGGUUGUGCCCUUGAGGCGUGGCUUCCGGAGCUAACGCGUUAAGUCGACCGCCUGGGGAGUACGGCCGCAAGGUUAAAACUCAAAUGAAUUGACGGGGGCCCGCACAAGCGGUGGAGCAUGUGGUUUAAUUCGAUGCAACGCGAAGAACCUUACCUACUCUUGACAUCCACGGAAUUUGGCAGAGAUGCCUUAGUGCCUUCGGGAACCGUGAGACAGGUGCUGCAUGGCUGUCGUCAGCUCGUGUUGUGAAAUGUUGGGUUAAGUCCCGCAACGAGCGCAACCCUUAUCCUUUGUUGCCAGCACUUCGGGUGGGAACUCAAAGGAGACUGCCGGUGAUAAACCGGAGGAAGGUGGGGAUGACGUCAAGUCAUCAUGGCCCUUACGAGUAGGGCUACACACGUGCUACAAUGGCGUAUACAAAGAGAAGCAAACUCGCGAGAGCCAGCGGACCUCAUAAAGUACGUCGUAGUCCGGAUUGGAGUCUGCAACUCGACUCCAUGAAGUCGGAAUCGCUAGUAAUCGUAGAUCAGAAUGCUACGGUGAAUACGUUCCCGGGCCUUGUACACACCGCCCGUCACACCAAGGGAGUGGGUUGCAAAAGAAGUAGGUAGCUUAACCUUCGGGAGGGCGCUUACCACUUUGUGAUUCAUGACUGGGGUG
rnacentral:rRNA from 1 species